rnacentral:lncRNA from 1 species
AUGCCGGGCGCCUCCAGGGCUGCCCUCAGGGCGGUGCCCGGGGGGGAAGCCCGGGGCCGGACUUUGUUUCGGCCGCGCCUCCGCCUCUCCCAUCCCGCUCCCCUUCGGAGCCGGAGUCCCUCCCGGCCUCCGGGCCACGUUAAAUCCCGUGUAAUGAGGUUUAACCCCGCCCCGAGGCGCGGCGCGGCCGGUCGGGCAGGCAGCCAGCGAGGCCCCUGCCCGGGGAGCCCGCCCGCCGCCCCGAGCGGCCGCAGCUGUUCCACGGUUCCAGCCGGAGUUGUUGGAAAGCGGCCACAGCUCCACAGACUUUGUCUCCCCCGCGUUCAGCGCUCAACUCUGCUCCAUCCUCCCCUCCCCUCCCCGGGGGCGGCCGCGGCUGCUCUGAGCGACGACGAGGGGGGAUGGAAGGGGGGUGCUGGGGAUGGAAGGAAGGGGGUGAUGGGGAUGGCCGUGCCCCCGCGGCUCCGGCAUGCACGGAGUCGAGGCUCCCCGCUCACAACCCCCGGGGAAAAGAAAAUACAUAGAACAACAAAUAAAAAAAAGAAUAAUGUUGAGGGUGGGGAGCGAGCUCGGCGCGCCGGGUGCUCAACCCGUCCCAUCCCAUCCCGUCCCAUCCCAUCCCAUCCCGUCCCGUCCCAUCCCGUUCAGUUCCGUCCCGGCCCCGCUCCGCGCUUUCCCCGCAGCCCUGUGCUGAGCGUGGCGCGGCGGUGGGUGUCUGCGCUGGGACGGGCGGGGCGGGCAGGCGCAGUGUGGGGCCGCGGCAGGGGGAGGGCGGCGGGCGGGCGCUGUGUCUGCGUCGCACCGACAGGGGGAAGGGAAGGGAAGGCGGGGGGUUACGCACCAGGGCAGAGCCGGGAUCCCUUCUCCACCCCACGAGCCCGCGGGGAGGGGAGAGAAAAAGGACGGGGGGGGUGUGGGGGGAGCGUUCUCCUCCUCCUUCCUCCUCCCCCUUUUUCACCCUUCCUCCUCCUCCUUCUUUCCCUAAAGUUAAACUUCCUGCUCCCGGCCCGGCUGGGAAGGGGACGCGCAGCCCGGCCGGACUCUGCCCUCGACACACACACAACAGCUGGAGCUGUCAAAACUUCCUCCUCUCGGCCUUCAGCCCCCGCCGCCUCCUCCUCCUCCUCCGCCGCCGCCUGCUCCUCCUCCGCCCCCGGGGGCUCAACGCGGGGGGAGGGCGCGGGGGCAGCGUACAAUGAAGCGGCGGCCGCCGCAGCCGGGCAGCACCGGAGCCGCCAGCAGCUCCCGAGGCCUCUGAGAGGGGGAAGCCCGCAGACAGCGCCUCGACCGCCGCCUCCCCCCGGACCCCGCCGAGCCGAGCACGGGGUGUUAUUGUGUGCGAGACCCUUCGUGCCUCCGCGCUCUUCUCUUCGCACCCCCCCUUCCCCUCUUCCCCCCCCCCUCCCCCGGUUCCUCCCUCCCCUCCUCCUCCUCUCUCCCCAUGCUGCUCCCCCUGCUACCUGCGCUGGUCGGCGGCGGCUGAGGCCAGCGAUGCGAGGCGGAGGUGGAGGAGGCGGAGGUGAGGAGGAGAGGAGCCGAGGGAGCAGGAGGAGCAUCGGGAUCCCCAUCACCAUCCUCAUCUUCAUCACCAUCAUCCAUGUGUCUCUCUCGUCCUGCUGA